rnacentral:rRNA from 1 species
AGAGUUUGAUCGUGGCCCAGGAUGAACGCUAGCGGCGCGCCUAAUGCAUGCAAGUCGAGCGAUGAGGCCUCCUCGGAGGUACAUCAGCGGCAGACGGGUGAGUAACACGUGGGUGACCUGCCCUCAAGACGGGGAUAACUGAUGGAAACAGCAGCUAAUACCCGAUGCCCUUACCGUGUCGAAGUGGUAAGGAAAGCUCCGGUGCUUGAGGAGGGGCUCGCGGCCCAUCAGCUAGUUGGUGAGGUAAUGGCUCACCAAGGCGAAGACGGGUAGGGGGUGUGAGAGCAUGACCCCCCACAAUGGGACUGAGAUACGGCCCAUACUUCUACGGAAGGCAGCAGCAGGGAAUCUUGCCCAAUGGACGAAAGUCUGAGGCAGCGACGCCGCGUGAGUGAUGACGGCCUUCGGGUUGUAAAACUCUUUUUGAGGGGAAGAGCGAGGACGGUAUCCUCAGAAUAAGCGUCGGCUAACUACGUGCAGCAGCCGCGGUAAGACGUAGGACGCAAGCGUUAUCCGGAUUUACUGGGCGUAAAGCGUCUGUAGGCGGACAGGUAAGUUGAACGUGAAAGCUCCGUGCUCAACGCGGAGAGGCCGUACAAUACUGCCUGACUAGAGGAGGUCAGAGGGGAGUGGAAUUUCCGGUGUAGCGGUAAAAUGCGCAGAUAUCGGAAGGAACACCAGUGGCGAAGGCGGCUCCCUGGGGCCCACCUGACGCUGGGAGACGAAAGCUAGGGGAGCGAACAGGAUUAGAGACCCUGGUAGUCCUAGCCCUAAACGCUGAAUGCUAGGUGUGGGGACGUAAAGUUUCCGUGCCGGAGCUAACGCGAUAAGCAUUCCGCCUGGGGAGUACGACCGCAAGGUUAAAACUCAAACGAAUUGACGGGACCCCGCACAAGCAGCGGAGCGUGUGGUUUAAUUCGAUCUACACGAAGAACCUUACCUGGGUUUGACAUACAAGUGGUAGGAAGCCGAAAGGUGACUGACCCUUCGGGGAGCUUGUACAGGUGCUGCAUGGCUGUCGUCAGCUCGUGCCGUGAGGUGUCGGGUUAAGUCCCGUAACGAGCGCAACCCUUGCCCUUAGUUACAAGUGUCUAAGGGGACUGCCGGCGGGAAGCCGGAGGAAGGUGGGGAUGACGCCAAGUCAGCAUGGCCCUUAUGUCCAGGGCUACACACACGCUACAAUGGGCGGUACAGAGGGCAGCGAAGCCGCGAGGUGAAGCGAAUCCCACAAAGCCGUUCGUAGUUCGGAUAGCAGGCUGCAACUCGCCUGCUUGAAGCUGGAGUUGCUAGUAACCGCGCGUCAGCUAUAGUGCGGUGAAUACGUUCCCGGGGUUUGUACACACCGCCCGUCACGUCAUGGGAGUUGGUAACGCCAGAAGCCGAUAGCUUGACUCGCAAGAGGGGGCGUCGUCGAGGGCGGGACUGGCAACUGGGACGAAGUCGUAACAAGGUA